GACGAACGCUGGCGGCGUGCUUCAUACAUGCAAGUCGAACGAGAAGCUGACUUCUGUCAGUGGAAAGUGGCGGACGGGUGGGUAAUAUGUAGGAAAUCUGCCUUUAGGAGGGGGACAACAGAGGGAAACUUCUGCUAAUACUCCAUAUGACCGUAGCUGAAAUGCUAUUCUUGAAAACUCCGGUGCCUAAAGAUGAGCCUGCAUCUGAUUAGCUAGUUGGUAGUGUAAUGGACUACCAAGGCGACGAUCAGUAGCUGGUUUGAGGGGAUGAUCAGCCACAAUGGGACUGAGACACGGCCCAUACACCUACGGGAGGGAGCAGUAGGGAAAUUUGCGCAAGGGGCGAAAGCCUGAAGCAGCAACGCCGCGUGAACGAUUAAGCCCUUCAGGGUGUAAAGUUCUGUCAGUGGGGACGGAACUUGACGGUACCCACAGAGGAAGCACCGGCUAACUACGUG
rnacentral:rRNA from 1 species